UACGUAGGGUGCGAGCGUUGUCCGGAAUUAUUGGGCGUAAAGAGUUCGUAGGCGGUCUGUCGCGUCCGUUGUGAAAGCCCAGGGCUCAACCCUGGGUCUGCAGUGGAUACGGGCAGACUAGAGUCAGGUAGGGGAGAACGGAAUUCCUGGUGUAGCGGUGAAAUGCGCAGAUAUCAGGAGGAACACCGGUGGCGAAGGCGGUUCUCUGGGCCUGUACUGACGCUGAGGAACGAAAGCGUGGGGAGCGAACAGG
rnacentral:rRNA from 1 species